AUCGCUUCUCGGCCUUUUGGCUAAGAUCAAAGUGUAGUAUCUGUUCUUAUCAGCUUAAUAUCUGAUACGUCCUCCAUUGGGGGACUUCGAUAUUAAACUGAUAUUUGAAACAUGACGGACUGUUAGGGGCUUGCUCCACCUCUGUCACGGGUCGGCCUGGAAUUGCAGUACCUCCAGGAUCGGCCCACUCUCC
rnacentral:snRNA from 1 species